rnacentral:misc_RNA from 1 species
AAGUCGUAACAAGGUUUCCGUAGGUGAACCUGCGGAAGGAUCAUUAUAAAUUUGGUAUUCACUACCGAUUCACUAAUGUGCACCUGAUUGCUAGUUGCCGCGUGGUCGCAAGGCCUGCGGCGGCUUACUACUUUGAUUACUUUGUGUAAACACUAGUGUCUUGAAAUCCGUCACUGGCCUAGCGCCUGCUGACACUAAGGGUAAAAUAAAACUUUUAGCAACGGAUCUCUAGGCUCUC